rnacentral:rRNA from 1 species
UGCUUCUUGAAAACACCUAUGAAAAGUAAUCUCUGCCCAGUGAAUAUUUAAACGGCCGCGGUACCCUGACCGUGCAAAGGUAGCAUAAUAGCUUGCCUUUUAAUUAAAGGCUUGUAUGAAUGAGCUAACGCGAGUUUAACUGUCUCUAAUAAUACCUUAAAAAUAAACCUCCAUGUGAAAAGGCAUGGAUACUAUUAAAAGACAAGAAGACCCUGUCGAGCUUAAUUGUAACUAAGUAAAAAGAAAAAUAAUUCAUUCCUCUUACCCAAACAACAAUUUAGUUGGGGCAACAAAGGAACAAAAAAACCUUCCUUUAUCUGACUAUAUAACAACUAACCCAAAUAAAUUGAAUAAAGAAUAAAGCUACCGCAGGGAUAACAGGUCAAUAUUUCUCAAGAGUACACAUCAACAGAAAAGCUUUACACCUCGAUGUUGGCUUAGGCUACCCAGUUAGUGCAGAAGCUAACAACGGCAGGUUUGUUCAACCUAAAAAGCCUACGU